rnacentral:rRNA from 1 species
GACGUAGGGGGCGAGCGUUGUCCGGAUUUAUUGGGCGUAAAGGGCUCGUAGGCGGUUUGGCAAGUCGGCUGUGAAAACUCCAGGCUUAACCUGGAGAUGCCAUUCGAUACUGCUAUGACUUGAGUUCGGUAGGGGCGCAUGGAAUACCCGGGGUAGCGGUGAAAUGCUUAGAUAUCGGGUGGAACACCAGUGGCGAAGGCGGUGCGCUGGGCCGAAACUGACGCUGAUGAGCGAAAGCGUGGGUAGCAAACAGG